rnacentral:rRNA from 1 species
UACGGGGGGAGCAAGCGUUGUUCGGAUUUACUGGGCGUAAAGGGCGCGUAGGUGGUCCUGUCAGUCCGCUGUGAAAGUCAAAGGCUCAACCUUUGAAAGCUGGUGGAUACUGCAGGACUAGAGUACGGAAGAGGCGAGUGGAAUUCCUGGUGUAGCGGUGGAAUGCGCAGAUAUCAGGAGGAACACCAAUAGCGAAGGCAGCUCGCUGGGACGUUACUGACACUGAGGCGCGAAAGCGUGGGGAGCGAACAGG